UGGUGUGUGGCUGCUGUUGUUAGGAACCCAGGGGUGGGACCUGGAGUAGUAGGUGGGCCUGGGUCCCCUCCCUUCCCAUAGACCACUGGGGAAUGAGGCUUGCAAUUAAACUGUGAUUGACACCCCUUCCCCCCCAGAAGAGGAACAGAACUGCUAAGAGGCCUAGCUGGGGCCAGAAGAGACCCAGUGGGUUAAAAUGAUUCCCUCCAGGGAGGGAGGACUUCCUUGGGGUCUGGCCUGAUGCUAUUUGAAACCUGCAGACACACUUGACCAGGGGGUGCUCAUGAGAGAUUUUUCUUUCCUUACAGCCAAUGGGAAAGCUAUAAACAAGGGAAUAUUGCAGCAGGACCCCUGUGGAGAGUUGGCUGGAUGUGACCUAGUGAGCAUCGUAUGAGUGCAAGGCAGCAAAAACCCCACCAACAUCCCCAGCAGCUGUAGACAGUAGACUACCCCGAACAUGAGAAGUAGGGCAUGGUUCUCAGAGGCUGCUGGUGCUGGGUCCUAUGUCAGACCCCGCUCACACCACUGCUGGAAGCAAAAACUGUGCUGAAGGGCUACAGACGGUAUUAGCAGAGUGGCAGGAGCUGUACUAAAGACAGCAUCAGAUCAGUGUCUGGCCAAGUCACCCCUUGGAAAAGAACAUACUGACUUUGGGGAAGCUUGGUGACCUGAUGGGAAAAUGGGACAAUAAGUGUGGGGGGGAGGGGUGAUGAUGAUUAAAUACUACUGCAGUCCUGUCUAAAAGAAUUGCUCCGUUCUCUGGCUUCCGUGCCACUCUCUUUCCCCUGACCCCCCUCCCCCCAAAUAAAUCCUGUGGUGGUCGAAGUCACCCUGGCCCACCAGGCAGUCACUGGUGAUGCUGGGAAUUUUUCCACACAAAAAACUCUGCGGAAAACUGUUUUUGUUCUUUCUGUUUGACACAUUUUUAAGUGGACACUCUGACAAAAAGGCAACUUUUUCAAACAAGCAAUGUUCUGUGUGAAAUGUCUUGAUGGGGAAAUGGGAGUGAGCUUUGAAAUGCUGCAAGCUGAGGAGCUUGCAGUAGCUAUGGCUGUUUUAACAGGGGAUGGCUUUAAUUAUGUUAAUGAUUAAUAAGAUCAGUACAGUAUCCCUUGUGCUGUUGCAUUUUACUGUUUUUAUGCUGUUUCUCAAUUUUUUAAUUGUGAUUGUCCAGCACAGUUGAGUACUAAAAAUGCAAAUGAAAAUUGGGGAAUUUUCUCACUUGUUCCCACUUGUAAGAUAAAAACACUGGCUGUUAAAAUGCUCAGCAAUGAAAUAGUUAAUGUAGACAUUCUCAAUUUGGUGCAGAAUUAAAACUUCUGUUAAGAUGCA